rnacentral:rRNA from 1 species
GAAUAUUGGACAAUGGGCGAAAGCCUGAUCCAGCGACGCCGCGUGUGUGAAGAAGGCCUGCGGGUUGUAAAGCACUUUUAGUGGGGAUGAAAAGCUCAGGGCUAAUACCUCUGGGUCUUGACCUAACCCCCAGAAAAAGCACCGGCUAACUCUGUGCCAGCAGCCGCGGUAAGACGUAGGAUCCGAGCGUUGUCCGGAGUUACUGGGCGUAAAGCGCGCGCAGGCGGACACGCGCAUCGGCGGUGAAAGCCCCCCGCUCAACGGGGGAGGGUCCGUCGAGAUGGCGUGUCUGGAGGCAGGGAGAGGCCAGUGGAAUUCCGGGUGUAGUGGUGAAAUGCGUAGAGAUCCGGAGGAACACCAGUGGCGAAGGCGGCUGGCUGGACCUGACCUGACGCUGAGGCGCGAAGGCGUGGGGAGCGAAC